rnacentral:rRNA from 1 species
GUGCAGCAGGCGCGAAACCUCCGCAAUGCGGGAAACCGCGACGGGGUCACCCCGAGUGCCGCCCUAACGGGUGGCUGUGGCCCGGUGUAAACAGCCGGGCUUAGAAAGGGGAGGGCAAGGCUGGUGCCAGCCGCCGCGGUAAAACCAGCUCCUCGAGUGGUCGGGGUGAUUAGUUGGGCCUAAAGCGUCCGUAGCCGGCCCCGUAAGUCCUCGGUUAAAGUCCUACGGCCUAACCGUGGGACUGCCGAGGAUACUGCGGGGCUUGGGGGCGGGAGAGGCCGGGGUACUCCCGGGGUAGGGGUGAAAGUCCUGUAA